rnacentral:rRNA from 1 species
CGAUGUCGGCUCGUCGCAUCCUGGGGCUGGAGUCGGUCCCAAGGGUUGGGCUGUUCGCCCAUUAAAGCGGUACGCGAGCUGGGUUUAGAACGUCGUGAGACAGUUCGGUCCCUAUCCGCCGUGGGCGUAGGAGACUUGAGGAGGGUUGACCCUAGUACGAGAGGACCGGGUUGAACGGCCCGCUAGUGUACCGGUUGUCACGCCAGUGGCAGCGCCGGGUAGCCAUGGCCGGUUCGGAUAAGCGCUGAAAGCAUCUAAGUGCGAAGCCGACUCCAAGAUAAGGUCUCCCACCGGGUUAACCGGGUAAGGGCCCUGGUAGACAACCAGGUUGAUAGGCCGGAGGUGUAAGAAGAGCAAUCUUUUGAGCUGACCGGUACUAAUAGCCCGAGGGCUUGUUCACCUAUAACUCACUCU